rnacentral:rRNA from 1 species
GACGAACGCUGGCGGCGUGCCUAAUACAUGCAAGUAGGACGCAGUUGCGCACGGGUGAGUAACGCGUAGGUAACUACCUAUUAGAGGGGGAGAACUAAUGGAAAAGAUAGCUAAUACCGCAUACUAGUAGAUGGACAUGCGUUGUAUUAGCUAGUAGGGAGGGUAAAGGCCUACCUAGGCAACGAGACAUAGCCGACCGUGGAGGGGUGUCGGCCACACUGGGACUGGGACACGGCCCAGGCUCCUACGGGAGGGCGCAGUAGGGGAUCUUCGGGAAUGGGGGGAACCCUGACCCGGCAACGCCGCGUGAGUGAAGAAGGUUUUCGGAUCGUAAAGCUCUGUUGUUAAGGAAGCGGUACUUAACCAGAAAGGGACGGCUAACUACGUGCCAGCAGCCGCGGUAAUUC